rnacentral:rRNA from 1 species
UUGUUGGCGGGGUAACGGCCCACCAAGGCAACGAUCAGUAGGGGUUCUGAGAGGAAGGUCCCCCACAUUGGAACUGAGACACGGUCCAAACUCCUACGGGAGGCAGCAGUGAGGAAUAUUGGUCAAUGGACGAGAGUCUGAACCAGCCAAGUAGCGUGCAGGAAGACGGCCCUAUGGGUUGUAAGCUGCUUUUAUAAGGGAAUAAAGUGAGAGUCGUGACUCUUUUUGCAUGUACCUUAUGAAUAAGGACCGGCUAAUUCCGUGCCAGCAGCCGCGGUAAUACGGAAGGUCCGGGCGUUAUCCGGAUUUAUUGGGUUUAAAGGGAGCGUAGGCCGGAGAUUAAGCGUGUUGUGAAAUGUAGACGCUCAACGUCUGCACUGCAGCGCGAACUGGUUUCCUUGAGUACGCACAAAGUGGGCGGAAUUCGUGGUGUAGCGGUGAAAUGCUUAGAUAUCACGAAGAACUCCGAUUGCGAAGGCAGCUCACUGGAGCGCAACUGACGCUGAAGCUCGAAAGUGCGGGUAUCGAACAGGAUUAGAUACCCUGGUAGUCCGCACGGUAAACGAUGGAUGCCCGCUGUUGGUCUGAAUAGGUCAGCGGCCAAGCGAAAGCAUUAAGCAUCCCACCUGGGGAGUACGCCGGCAACGGUGAAACUCAAAGGAAUUGACGGGGGCCCGCACAAGCGGAGGAACAUGUGGUUUAAUUCGAUGAUACGCGAGGAACCUUACCCGGGCUUGAAUUGCAGAGGAAGGAUUUGGAGACAAUGACGCCCUUCGGGGCCUCUGUGAAGGUGCUGCAUGGUUGUCGUCAGCUCGUGCCGUGAGGUGUCGGCUUAAGUGCCAUAACGAGCGCAACCCCUCUCCUUGGUUGCCAUCAGGUUGAGCUGGGCACUCUGGGGACACUGCCACCGUAAGGUGUGAGGAAGGUGGGGAUGACGUCAAAUCAGCACGGCCCUUACGUCCGGGGCUACACACGUGUUACAAUGGCAGGUACAGAGAGACGGUCCCUUGCAAAACGGAUCAAAUCCUUAAAGCCUGUCUCAGUUCGGACUGGGGUCUGCAACCCGACCCCACGAAGCUGGAUUCGCUAGUAAUCGCGCAUCAGCCAUGGCGCGGUGAAUACGUUCCCGGGCCUUGUACACACCGCCCGUCAAGCCAUGAAAGCCGGGGGCGCCUAAAGUCCGUGACCGUAAGGAGCGGCCUAGGGCGAAACUGGUAAUUGGGGCUAAGUCGUAACAAGGUA